AGUGAACGCUGGCGGCAGGCCUAACACAUGCAAGUCGAACGGCAGCACAGUAAGCUUUUGCCUCUACGGGUGGCGACGGGCGGACGGGUGACGCAUACAUCGGCAUCUUCUUUUUCGUGGGGGAUAACGUAGGGAAACAUAUGCUAAUACCGCAUACGAUCUACGGGUGAAAGCAGGGGAUCUUCGGACCUUGCGCGACUGAAUGAGCCGAUGUCGGAUUAGCUAGUUGGCUAGGUAAAGGCCCACCAAGGCGACGAUGCGUAGCUGGUCUGAGAGGAUGAUCGGCCACACUGGAACUGAGACACGGUCCAGACUCCUACGGGAGGCAGCAGUGGGGAAUAUUGGGCAAUGGGCGAAAGCCUGACCCAGCCAUGCCGCGUGGGUGAUGAAGGCCUUCGGGUUGUAAAGCCCUUUUAUUGGGAAAGAAAAACUGCGGGUUAAAACACCGCUGUUCUGACGGUACCCAAAGAAUAAGCACCGGCUAACUUCGUG
rnacentral:rRNA from 1 species